rnacentral:lncRNA from 1 species
GGUUGCUAAUGCAAUAAAGGCUUCAUUGCCUCCGGGUGCCAUGAAAUCUAGUAAGGAAGGUACACGGUGUAUUCAAGUGGAGAUCACACCAACGUCCUCCAGAAUAUCAAGGAAUGCAGUUACCAGCAUGUCAAUAAGAGGUCACAGGUGGAAAAGACAUGGAGGAAACAAGAGCAGUCGGCAGAGCCGGCCCAGCCUGGAUACGGACACAAUCUCCUGCUGGAAUUUGCAGAGCCGGUUUAAAUAUGAUCAUAGUGUCCAGAAGUCUGUUUCUAAAAUAUAGAAAAGCAAGAUGACAGCUCUGGAAAGGCCAAUUUUGAAGCACUUGGAAUCUUUUCGUUUUGCAUUAAACCUCGGGCUCAUCUAGCUGGGUUUCAUGGUGUGCACAAGAGAAAGAAACAGUAAUAAAAAUGGCUGUCUUGACAUUUUUA